UAGGGAAUCUUGGACAAUGGGCGAAAGCCUGAUCCAGCCAUGCCGCGUGAGUGAUGAAGGCCUUAGGGUUGUAAAGCUCUUUCGCCAGGGAAGAUAAUGACGGUACCUGGAUAAGAAGCCCCGGCUAACUUCGUGCCAGCAGCCGCGGUAAUACGAAGGGGGCUAGCGUUGUUCGGAAUUACUGGGCGUAAAGCGCACGUAGGCGGCUUUCCAAGUUGGAGGUGAAAUCCCCGGGCUUAACCCGGGAACUGCCUCCAAAACUGAAAGGCUAGAGUCCGAGAGAGGUGAGUGGAAUUUCCAGUGUAGAGGUGAAAUUCGUAGAUAUUGGAAAGAACACCAGUGGCGAAGGCGGCUCACUGACUCGGUACUGACGCUGAGGUGCGACAGCGUGGGGAGCAAACA
rnacentral:rRNA from 1 species